rnacentral:rRNA from 1 species
UACGUAGGGCGCGAGCGUUGUCCGGAAUUAUUGGGCGUAAAGAGCUCGUAGGCGGCCUGUCGCGUCGGUUGUGAAAGCCCGGGGCUCAACCCCGGGUCUGCAGUCGAUACGGGCAGGCUAGAGUUCGGUAGGGGAGAUCGGAAUUCCUGGUGUAGUGGUGAAAUGCGUAGAUAUCGGGAGGAACACCAGUGGCGAAGGCGACUUCCUGGCCUGUUCUUGACGCUGAGGCGCGAAAGCUAGGGGAGCAAACGGG